rnacentral:rRNA from 1 species
GAUGAACGCUGGCGGCGUGCCUAAUACAUGCAAGUCGAGCGAACGGACGAGAAGCUUGCUUCUCUGAUGUUAGCGGCGGACGGGUGAGUAACACGUGGAUAACCUACCUAUAAGACUGGGAUAACUUCGGGAAACCGGAGCUAAUACCGGAUAAUAUUUUGAACCGCAUGGUUCAAAAGUGAAAGACGGUCUUGCUGUCACUUAUAGAUGGAUCCGCGCUGCAUUAGCUAGUUGGUAAGGUAACGGCUUACCAAGGCAACGAUGCAUAGCCGACCUGAGAGGGGGAUCGGCAACCGUGGAAGUGAGGCAGGGUCCAGACACCGACGGGCGGCAGCAGGAGGGAAGCGUCAGCACUGGCGGAAGGCCUAACGGAUCAAUGCCGAGGGAGUAAUGAAGGUAUUAGAAUCGUAAAACUCUGUGAUGAGGGAAGAACAAAUGUGGACGUAACUAGGCACGCCUUGACGGGACCUAAUCAGAAAGCCACGGCUAACUACGUG